GUUUUCCUCUGCCGAGGUCUCGAACUUGCGCAAGCACCAAAAGAGCAGGAGCAAGUCGAGGUAGGAGGUCGUGAUGAAGGCGACGGAGGAGAAGUCGUGCAUCGAGCGGUAGACGGCGGCGCCGGAGUUGUAGGCAAAAGUUGAUGGCCGUCGUCUCGAUCGGCGAGGCGAGCAAAUUCGAGGGCAUCCUUACCACUGUGCGAGUGAGCCUCGCAGUAACGAUAGAUGGAAUUAUCACAAAUUUGUGUGGCAUGUGCGAUAAUUGAUCCGCUGGAUCUGCGAUAUAAAGUUCGACACCUACCGCUCUGCCUCGACUUUGUCUAACGGCUAGCUUGACUAACGGCUAAUUUUAAAUGGAGACGCGUUUUUAUAUUCUAUUUUUUUUUCUAAACAAAUGCCAAGUCUAAUCAAUCGCGUGCCGCAGACGGCACGAAUCGCGCAUUGCAGACGGCACGGACUGCGGAACACGCGUUGUGGAGUUUGAAGCACAUGGCGAUGACCCAUUAUUGUUUAAAAGUACCGUCAGGAUCAUGCUACGAUGCCCUGGGAAAAGCUGGUCGGCUCUAAAUUGUCCGUAUCAUUUAUCUUCUUCACAUGGGGACGGACGGUAAGAGGAGCGGAUAACCGUAAUUAGCUUCAAAUCGAUUUUUCUCAUUUCGAGAUUACGAUGAUCUAUUGAUAUAUACUAUAAGUAUAUUUUUCAGUAGAAAAUAUUUUCUGAAGUCAUUAAUCAUCUUGAAAAAAAAAAAUCUAAGACCGACUCUUUCCCCUAAUUUAACAGUUUAAAACGCAUCAUGUAUCUUUUCGAUAGGACUCAACUUUCUUGAGCAUCUAAAACAAGAAGGGAAAUCUACCAAAAAAACAAAGAAGCAAGUAUCUCAGAUUAAACAGCCAUACCGUGGACAAAUUGCCAUAAAAUAAGCCAGCGAAAUGGGAAAUUAAGGUGGGAAACAUGAUAACCAGGCGAAGCAACCAACAGGCGGGUUGCGAUCAGCGAGGGCAUGUGAGUACUAUCGCCGACCGUCCGGCUGCCGCUUGCAUCGACCCCCAUGAUAAGAGGAUGAGAUUGAAAGAAAGAGGAGACAGCGGCGGAGGAAUCUUAAUUAACUACGUCCAGGAAUAUUAAGUUUAAAGACGGGAAGGGGAGGCAGACAUGACACAAACGACGAUGCUCCUUGGCUCCUUGCCGCCACCGACAUCCCUCAGAGCAACCUUUUGUUCUUCGAUCUUAUCCACCCCUCUUUUAUAGUGCUAGACCGGA